AGAACUUUAGGAUGCCCUCUCACCCUGGUUGAACGAUAAAGUGUUUAGAAAUAAUACCUUUGUGGCCAGGCACGGUGGCUCAUGCCUGUAAUCCCAGCACUUUGGGAGGCAGAGGUGGGAGGAUCACCUUAAGUUGAAAGUUCAAGACCAGCCUGACCAACAUGGAGAAACCCCAUCUCUGCUGAAAAUACAAAAUUAAUCAGCUGGGAGUGGUGAUGUGUCCCUGUAAUCCCAGCUACUCGGGAGGCUGUGGCAGGAGAAUCACUUGAACCCAGGUGGUGGAGGUUGCAGUGAGCCAAGAUUGUGCCAUUGCAUUCCAGCCUGGAAACAAGAGUGAAAUUUGGUCUCAGGAAAAAAAAAAAAAAAAAAAAAAGAAAGAAAGGAAGAUAGAUAGAAUACCUUUGUGAUGACCAUGUACCAGACAGUAAUCUUAUAAGGACUCUGAUGACCAGUUAGGUGCCUCGCCCCUGGUUGUAAUGCAGAAUUGUGAUUCCCGCUUAGAGGUUUUCAGCAGGCCAUGUCCUCCCUUUCUCUGUGAUCAAAGUUAGCAUCACAGUUGAGUGACCUACCCAGGGCCCUGAACUCACAAGGGUCCCACAUCUGGUUUAACAUUCUGCUGUUGCCCUCUUAGAAUCCCUAAUAAAAAUGAAUAAUUUAUGAAUCCUUAAUGAGUGCUUAAUACUUUGAACUCGUGUCUUGUAGGGGUACUCCAGCGUGAAAAUGGAGCAUGCACGUGAGCUGAGUAGUGGCAUGCAGCAUGCACGCCCAUCGAUCCUUGCUGCUCAUUCCCAUACGGUGUCCGCCAUGCCCCUUGGACACUGAAUUCCAGUGGACCCAGCAUGUGUGGGAAUUCAGGGGAGACUCGAUGUAUAUACAAGUAGAGACGGGGUUUCACCAUGUUGACCAGGAUGUUCUCGAUCUCUUGACCUCGUGAUCCACCCGCCUCGGCCUCCCAAAGUGCUGGAAUUACAGGCUUGAGCCAGUGCGCCCGGCCUACUUACGUCUUUUUCUUAAAGAAUAUUUUCUCCUGAAUAUAUUGACUCAAGAAAUGCAUAGUUAGUGCCUCCUGUGUACCCUUUAUUGUGCAAGACAUUGAAGAUACGACAAUAAACCAAACCUGGUCUCUGCUUUAAAAGAGCUUUCGUUCCAACGAAGCAGCCAUCUUUCUGGCUAAUACCAACACACCAUGGUGAGUGCUUUUUUGUUGCAUGUGUUUCACUUCUAAAUAUUUCCUCAAGAGAAGAGAAAACGUAUAUCCACUAAAGGCCUUGCAUAGGAAUAUUCAUAAAAGCUUUGUUAAUGGCUUGAACUGAAAUUGACCCAAAUGUCUAAAAAGAAGAAAAUGGAUUAACAGAUUGUGAUAUAUCCAUACACACUAAAAGCAAUAAAAAUGAUGAAACAUGGAAGCAAAGAUAUGAAUGAGUCUUUAAAACAUCAUGCCUAUUCCAAGGUAAAGAAGCCAGACAGUGUUCACCCUACACAACUUAUAUGAAGUUCUAUAAUGACAUUAAUCUACGGUGAAAGGAAUCAGAACAGAAGUUGCCGGGAGUUGAAGGUGAAACGGGGAUUUACUAGAAAGGGGCUUGGGAGCUUUCUGGAGUGAUGAAAGUGUUUUAUAUCUUGAUGAGGAGAAAGGGACAGGGUAUAGGAUACGCAUGUAUAUUCAUUUAUCAAAAACCAUCAGACUGAGCACACGAGAUCUGUGUAUUUCACUGUAUGCAAAUCCUACCUUAAUUAAAAAAUUCCCAAGUAUUUUGUGUUUUUAUACUAUUGUAAAUUAUAUUUUUGAACAUUUUAUUUUAUCUUUACUACUAAUAUAAAGCAUUGAAGCUGAUUUUUGUAUAUGAACCUUGCAUCUUCAGACACUGAUAAAUUCACUAAUUAUUUCUAGUAAUCAGUUUUUAAAAAUAUUACUUUCUUUGGACUCUACAUGGUAGACCUUCUCCUUCAGUCUUUCAUUUCUCUUAGCUAGUCCCUUAUGUUUCCCAUCUUUUGUCUCUCUGUGCUAUACUUUGUUGUUGUUGUUUUUUUCCUUUAUUUAGCACUAAGACACUGCUAUCUUAGGACUUUGUUUAGGAAGAGGAAUGGGUACUUUUUAAUUUCUGAAGGUUUUACCUUUGGGAUUCUAGUUUAAUGUACAUGGGGGUCUAAUAUUAACAUUCUAAUUUGAGUGGGCUCUGGGCUUUUGACUUCUGCCCCUCUUACUUUGUGAGGUCUUCAAAAUUGGAUCGCAGUUCUCCAUAUGUUCUUAGGACAAAAGGCUUUGGUUGCUGAUAUGGUUUGGCUCUGUCCCCACCCAGAUCUCAUCUUGAAUUCCCACAUGUUAUGGGAGGGACCCAGAGGGAAGUAACCGAAUCACGGGAUCAGGUCUUUCCUAUGCUGUUCGCGUGAUAGUGAAUAAGUCUCACAAGAGGUGAUGAUUAUAUAAGGAGUUUUUCUGCAUAAGCUCUCUUCUUUUGUCUGCUGCCACAUGAGACACACUGUUCACCUUACACUAUGAUUGUGAGGCGUCCCCAGCCACAUGGAACUCUAAGUCCAUUAGACCCUUUAUUCUCCCCAGUCUCAAGGAUGUCUUUACCAGCAGCGUGAAAACAAACUAAUACAAUCUUGGACUCUUUUACAAUCUUGGUCUGGUAAUUCCUUAUUAUCUUGUCAGUUUCUUGAUGCUUUAAAGGAUACUAGAAAAUAUUCGUGGCCGGGCAGUGGCUCAUGCUUGUAAUCUCAGCACUUUGGGAGGUGGAGGUGAGUGAUCAUCUGAGGUCAGGAGUUCAAGACCAGCCUGGCAAACAUGCUGAAAUGCCAUCUCUACUAAAAAUACAGAAGAUUAGCCAGAUGGUGGCAGAUACCUGUAAUCCCAGCUGCUCAGGAGACUGAGGCAAGAGAAUCACUUGAACCCUGGAGGCAGAGGUUGCAGUGAGCUGAAAUCAGGCCACUGUGCUCCAGUCUGAGCAACAAGGUGAGACUUCGUCUCAAAAAAAAAGUAACGUAUUCAUUAGUUUUAGUGGAUUUUAGCAGAAAGGUUAACCAAAGUGACCUAGCUCUUUAUUAUUAGAAAUGGAGGAAAACAAAAUUUGGAAUUUUUUUAAUAAUCUCUUUUUCAUCAUUUCUAAGUAUAACAGUAAUCCCCUAAGAUGAUAAGUUUCACUACGUAAGUUUUUAAAAAAUCCGCAUGGCAAGAAAGAAAAUAAAGAUAAAAGAAAGAAAAGAAAUCACGGCAAGGACUAAUAGACAUUCAACAAGCAAGAAAAAGUUUUAAAAAUUCUAGUCAAGAAACUCAAGCUCAAGAGAAGGAAACCAAUUUUCUUUCUUUUGAAAAAAUUUACCAUUAUAUAUAUAUAUAUAUUUUUUUUUUUUUUUGAGACGGAGUUUCGCUCUUGCUACCCAGGCUGGAGUGAUCUCGGCUCACCGCAACCUCCGCCUCCUGGGUUCAGGCAAUUCUCCUGCGUCAGCCUCCCGAGUGGCUGGGAUUACAGGCACGUGCCACCAUGCCCAGCUAAUUUUUUGUAUUUUUUUUAGUAGAGAUGGGGUUUCACCAUGUUGACCAGGAUGGUCUCUAUCUCUUGACCUCGUGAUCCACCUGCCUCGGCCUCCCAAAGUGCUGGGAUUACAGGCUUGAGCCACCGCGCCCGGCCAUAUAUAUAUAUUUAUUUAAUUUUUAGAGAUGAAGUCUCACUAUGUUGCCCAGGCUGGACUCAACCUCCUAGGCUCAAGUGAUCCUCUUGCCUCAGCCUUCCAAGUAGAUAGUACUACAGGCAUACAUCACUGCACUUGACCUGGUUUUCUUAAUAUACCAAAAGCUCUAUAUUAUUAUCAAACUCUAUUAUUUUCAACUCUAUAUUAUUAUCAAUCUACACUAUCUUAUCAAAUGUAAAAUAUUGCCUCAUAACAGCAUCUUAAGGCAGCAGACAUUUAUAAUCUCGAAGUUCCUGUGGGUCAGGAAUCUGGGAACAGAUUAACUGGGUGGUUCCAGCUCAGGGUCUUUCAGGAUGUUGCAGUGGAGACGUCAGUCAGGGCUGUGGUCCUUCUAAGGCUUGCUCAAGGCUGAAGGACCCCGGCUAAGGUCAUUCGUGAGACUCUCAGAAGAGCCGCUGCUUCUCACCACGUGGUCUUCUUUAUCUAGGGCUGCUCAAGACCUGGCUACCGGUGUACCCCAGAGCAAGUGAUCUUCAGAAAGCCACCAAGACAGGCUGAAUGUCUUUUAUGAGCUAAUCUUGGGAAUGACUUACCAUCUCUUCUGCCAUAUUUUAUUGGUCACACAGAGAAACCAUGGUGCAAUGUGGGAGGGGGACUAUAGCAGGGUGUGAAUACCAGGAGGUGGAGUCACCUGGGGCCAUCUUAGAAGCUGCCUGCUGCAAGCUCCUACAGUUCAAUAAGACAAAAAACAAAGCUCAAGCAGAAAAAUGAGCAAGAGCUAUAGGGAGACUCAUAUAAAUAAAUACAUGUUUAGUAAAGAUAAAGAUAAACGUGUAUCUUUAUGUUAAACUACAUCUUAAACAUAAGAUGCUUUACUUCACUCUAAUUAAGAAUAAUGUAAUUUAAAACUGCAUUGGGACACCAUUUCUACCCAUAAGAUUGGUAAAGAUAAAACACCAAGUUCUCACUCACUGUAUAGUUGAGAAUUUUUGGAGAAAUAGAAUCUCAUAUUUUGUCAGCGAGCGUAGACUUUGGUACAACCUCUAUGAAGAAUAAUUUGGCGAUAACUCUCAAAAGUAAAAAUAUACAUAUCCUUUGAUCCAAUAAUUUCACUUCUAGGAAUUUUUUCUAAGUAUACUCUGGCACAUGUGCAAAAACGAUGUCUGUAUGAAGACAUUUAUUGCAGCAUUGACUUGUAACAGCAAAAGAUUGGAAACCAUCUGAAUUUCUAUCAACAGAUAACUGAUUAAAUAAAUUGUGGUAAUAUGCAUAUAAUAGAAUUCUAUGCAUCUCUUGAAAAGAAUGAAGCAGGCCUCUUUACACUGAUUUAGAAUUUUCUCCAACAAGUACUGAGAGAUGUAAAAGCACUGAACUGCAUGCCAUCAUUUGUGAAAAAUACGUAUAUGCUUGUACGUGAACAGAAUAUCUCUACAAGUAUAUCCAAGGGGUUGAGACUUGUAGCUUUUUUUUGUA
ensembl:lncRNA